rnacentral:rRNA from 1 species
AACGAACGCUGGCGGCAGGCCUAACACAUGCAAGUCGAACGCUCGUAGCAAUACGGGAGUGGCAGACGGGUGAGUAACGCGUGGGAACGUACCCUUUGGUUCGGAACAACUCCGGGAAACUGGAGCUAAUACCGGAUGAGCCCUACGGGGGAAAGAUUUAUCGCCGAAGGAUCGGCCCGCGUCGGAUUAGCUAGUUGGUGAGGUAACGGCUCACCAAGGCGACGAUCCGUAGCUGGUCUGAGAGGAUGAUCAGCCACACUGGGACUGAGACACAGCCCAGACUCCUACGGGAGGCAGCAGUGGGGAAUAUUGGACAAUGGGCGCAAGCCUGAUCCAGCCAUGCCGCGUGAGUGAUGAAGGCCUUAGGGUUGUAAAGCUCUUUCGCCAGGGACGAUAAUGACGGUACCUGGAUAAGAAGCCCCGGCUAACUUCGUGCCAGCAGCCGCCGUAA